CCUCAGGCCUCCAACACCUGAGCAGCCCAUAAGCCUGCCGCCCUGAACACACUCGUACGUGCCGUUCACACCCAGAGUCAACAGAGAGAGCCAGCCCAGAAUUACUCUUUGCAGCACAGGUCUUUUCCCCUGAAGGUAAUUAGAGCUGGUUUCUUCCGCUGCCUCCCAGAGUGACUUGACUGAUGACUGAUGAUGUACAUCAUAGAAGAUCCACGUGUCCAUCCCAGUGGCUCAUUUGAGUGUGCUUUCAGGGACACACAACCCCAGCCCAUCUCAGAAUCCUGGAUUUCUACACCUCCUUUCCAUGGAACAGUUGUGGUGGUCCCAGGUCCUGAGACCCUCUCCAGUUUGGCCUGGGAAUGCUCAAGUGUUUGAGUGGGCCCUCCUUACUGGCACCCUUCUUCUUGGGGUAGAAUGACAUCAGUGCAGUAGUCACCAUGGGCUCAGCCUGACUGAGUAAUAAGAGGAUCUGUUUGUGCAAUUGUCUCUGCAAUGUGCAACACAGAAUAUGGCAGAGACUCAAGUCAACUUUGUUUGGAGGAAAGGGACAGCAUUGGCUCCUGUCACUGAAGAAGGCACGAGUGGGAGUGAGCAGGGACACGGCUCCAGCAGGGACAGCUGCUCCAGCUUCUGUCUCAGUUUAGCUCAGGUGACAUGCUGCUACCCAAUGCCUGGAGCUGUCAACCUCUACCUGCUCCCAGUGCAGGAUCUUCAUUGUCAUUGGGUUAUUGGUCCAUCUCUGGGAUGAGAGCCUGCCUCUGAGGUCCGCUCUCAGGGACACCCGUCUCAAAUACGGUUCCCGAGGAGCAGAACUGAAGCGUGUUUAUUCAGGAUCUUGCAGUUGGAACAUUCUUUGUUGACUAAAAAGGACAUAGACGGAAAUAAAAAU
rnacentral:lncRNA from 1 species